rnacentral:rRNA from 1 species
GGUAUAGGUUUUCGGACCUAGAGACCGGCGCACGGGUGCGUAACGCGUAUGCAAUCUACCUUUCACAGAGGGAUAGCCCAGAGAAAUUUGGAUUAAUACCUCAUAGUAUAAUGAGUUGGCAUCAACACAUUAUUAAAGUCACAACGGUGAAAGAUGAGCAUGCGUCCCAUUAGCUUGUUGGUAAGGUAACGGCUUACCAAGGCUACGAUGGGUAGGGGUCCUGAGAGGGAGAUCCCCCACACUGGUACUGAGACACGGACCAGACUCCUACGGGAGGCAGCAGUGAGGAAUAUUGGACAAUGGGCGCAAGCCUGAUCCAGCCAUGCCGCGUGCAGGAUGACGGUCCUAUGGAUUGUAAACUGCUUUUGCACAGGAAGAAACAACGCUACGUGUAGCGUCUUGACGGUACUGUGAGAAUAAGGAUCGGCUAACUCCGUGCCAGCAGCCGCGGUAAUACGGAGGAUCCAAGCGUUAUCCGGAAUCAUUGGGUUUAAAGGGUCCGUAGGCGGUUUAGUAAGUCAGUGGUGAAAGCCCAUCGCUCAACGGUGGAACGGCCAUUGAUACUGCUAAACUUGAAUUAUUAGGAAGUAACUAGAAUAUGUAGUGUAGCGGUGAAAUGCUUAGAGAUUACAUGGAAUACCAAUUGCGAAGGCAGGUUACUACUAAUGGAUUGACGCUGAUGGACGAAAG